AACGAACGCUGGCGGCGUGCCUAACACAUGCAAGUCGAACGAGAAAGGGGCUUCGGCUCCGAGUAAAGUGGCGCCCGGGUGAGUAACACGUGGGUAACCUGCCUCUAAGAUUGGGAUAACUCGUCGAAAGAUGAGCUAAUACCGAAUAAGACCACAGUUCACGCGGGAACAGGGGUCACAGGUAGCCUCUGCUUGCAAGCUAUCACUUAGAGAUGGGCCUGCGCACCAUUAGCUAGUUGGUAGGGUAACGGCCUACCAAGGCAAAGAUGGUUAGCUGGUCUGAGAGGAUGAACAGCCACACUGGAACUGGGAAACGGUCCAGACUCCUACGGGAGGCAGCAGUGGGGAAUAUUGCGAAAUGGGCGAAAGCUUGACGCAGCAACGCCGCGUGAGUGAUGAAGGCCUUCGGGUCGUAAAGCUCUGUCGGGAGGAACGAAUGCUCCUGAGGUUAACAGCCUCGGGAGGUGACGGUACCUUCAAAGGAAGCACCGGCUAACUCUGUG
rnacentral:rRNA from 1 species